UCCUCUUCUGUAUCUGCCUUCCCCUGUGUUUCCUGGCGGUCCCCUGUCCGUCUUGUUUGUGUGUGUGUGUGUGUCUGGGUUCUGGGCUGGUUUCCAGAUCUCCCGGCUGCUAUUGAUUACCGGCACACCUGAUCAUCAUCAUCAUCAUCAACCACCACAGUUAUCUACCGGGCUCAUCCACACUUCCAGCGCCAGAUCGUCUUCGUACCCAACCUCUGUGCUGCCGGUGAUCACUUCCUUGUGCCACGGCCAUCGGACUCUAGUCUCAGUCUCAGCGUGUCUUCACCCGAUCAGCCCAGCCUUCAACCACGCCAGCCAGUCCAGAACCCGCUUCCCUGGUCUCCGCUCAACGCACCACUCUCCAGCCUCCGUCCAGUCCGGUCGAACUCUCCGUACUACAACGCACUUCGCCAGACACGCCGCGAUCUCCUGAUCUAUCCACACAAUAAAACUGUUCAGACCUUGA